CGAUAAAGUUGUGUAAAAGUGUUCUGUGAUUUUGCGAUGCGAUGCGCCGCGAUAGACUUACCAACUUCCCUGAAGGUCGGCAGCUGUUGCCAACAGGUGAUCAAAGAGCAGGAGCCUGAAACGCCGUGACACUUGCAGCCAUGAUCCAUUCGGAGUCGAUCGUCGCGCCGCUUCGGCCAAACCGGAAACAAUCAAAAUGGCGAACGCACGCUUCAAGAUUAGGGCUCCAGGAAUUGAACGGCACUUUACAGCAGAAUAAUCCUUACUUCAAAUUGGAGAUGAGUGUCUGGCAAUAAUUUAAGUUUGCCUUUGAAUUAGUGACAAAAAUUACAUUUUUGUGUCGCAAAGGCUCACUUUUUGCUUGUUUUAGGUGUUCGACAUCCGAGCCCGACAUCAUAGGAGAACCAUUCUUGCAUCAGAUUAGAUAUUGCACCUGAAUCUGACAUCGUAGAAUGAUCAUUCUUACAUCAGAUGAGAUAUUGCACCUGAAUCUGACAUCGUAGAAGGACCAUUCUUACAUCAGAUUGGAUAUUGCACCUGAGUCUGACAUCGUAGAAUGAUCAUUCUUACAUCAGAUUAGAUAUUGCACCUGAAUCUGACAUCGUAGAAGGACCAUUCUUGCAUCAGAUUGUAAGAAAUUAAUUUCUUUAUCAUUUUCAUAUGUAACUUAUAUGAAUCACUUAUGAAUUAGCGAGAAAAAUUAACUUUUUGUGUUUCGACGCACUGAUUUUGCUGGUUUUCGGGGAUUAGCACAUGAACGCGUCAUCCGCGUAAUAUCAGCGAGGUCCCUAAAGAUGUAAAAUUCAAUUCUUCAUGGCGUUAUAUUCUAAUGUCGUAGGAGAUGUACCUGUAGAACGGUAUUGUUAGAUAAAUUGUACGUUUCGUACGUUGUUAUGUCGAUAACUUGUAACUGUUUACAUUUAGUCAUUUUGAAUAGUUUUUGGCUUAUAUAUAACAUGGAUUGUGCUUUAUUAAUUUUCGUUCAAGUGACUGAGAUAGAAAUACCAGGAUGAUGUGAUAGCAGGUGAGCUAGAAUAAGAGAGCAAUACUCUAAGUUUCAUGUUCAAUCCAUGUUUUUUAUAUGAUCUGCAGAAUUUUCUACAAUUUGUUUUUACUUUUCGUUCGACCUUGGCUUGCGCAGCACGCCGUGCGCUGCCAUUUGAAAUUUGACCAGUACCGCACUGGUCACCGUGCGUCGUCGGGUUCAAGUGACAAUUUGCUAUACUGCUCAGUACAUCUUGCGCUGACGUAUUGGCUGUUAUUUUUUCCUGUUUAGUCAGUGGCACGGAAUUGUGCUGUGCGCGCGUGUUCUCUUUCUUCUCCGCCCUUGUUCGUCGCGAUUUCGGGCGAUUUUAAUAAGGUGCAAGCCUUAUAAUUGUUUAGUCAUCAAUUGCUAUCAACUACUGGACAAGUGAUUUAUCUCGAAUCGACUCGAUACUUGCGCGUGUGUUAGCCAUCAUCCGCCGGCCGUCGGAUCUCUUACGUUGGGCGUACGGAUUCCAAUUGCAUUUAUAGGCCAAAAUGGUAUUGUUAAUUGCAAAAGCAAUUCAGUGAGUAGUAACAUCAAUUCUACUAACAAUUCUACUUUGUGUGUAACUUUUGAUACGAGAGCGUUGUGGCUUGAUGAUACGUAGGAAAAUGGCUUGAAUCGUACGUACGUUCGUUUUAUUUAAAAAAAUGAAGAAUGUAUUGCUAAAUACAAUUAAUAAAAAUCAAUUUAAAAUGAAA